rnacentral:rRNA from 1 species
AAUAUUGGACAAUGGGCGGAAGCCUGAUCCAGCAACGCCGCGUGAGGGAUGACGGCCUUCGGGUUGUAAACCUCUUUCAGCACAGACGAAGCGCAAGAGACGGUAUGUGCAGAAGAAGGACCGGCCAACUACGUGCCAGCAGCCGCGGUAAUACGUAGGGUCCGAGCGUUGUCCGGAAUUAUUGGGCGUAAAGGGCUCGUAGGCGGUCUGUCGCGUCGGGAGUGAAAACCAGGUGCUUAACACCUGGCCUGCUUUCGAUACGGGCAGACUAGAGGUACUCAGGGGAGAAUGGAAUUCCUGGUGUAGCGGUGAAAUGCGCAGAUAUCAGGAGGAACACCGGUGGCGAAGGCGGUUCUCUGGGAGUAUCCUGACGCUGAGGAGCGAAAGUGUGGGGAGCGAACAGGAUUAGAUACCCUGGUAGUCCACACCGUAAACGUUGGGCGCU